AAGUCGUAACAAGGUUUCCGUAGGUGAACCUGCGGAAGGAUCAUUAACACAAUUUUGAUUCACAAAUCUCUUUGCUUCGUUGUCUUUUUUUCUAGAUGCAAGAAAUUGUAGCUAGAGAAGAGCAACAAGCAAUUAACCCCCUUUCUAUGACGAAAAAUCUUUACAAAAGAAUGGAAGAAAAAGGAAUGUGUUUCGUCACAAUCCGUUUCAACCGUUUUUUUCCUUUACCCAAUUUUUUUUACCCCUUUUACAACCUGGAAUAGACUGAAAACAAAAAUCAUAUUCUAGAUCUCUAGAAUCUAAAACUAAGAAAACAACUCUUAGCAACGGAUAUCUAGGUUCUC
rnacentral:misc_RNA from 1 species